ensembl:lncRNA
UCGUUUUUUAAUCAUUAAUUUAUUUAAAAAUAAAGACAAGGAGUAAAGAAACAAGUGUGCAUGAACUGAAAUAAAAACAGGGUUGUGAGUGAACAGAAAAGAACCGUGCGGUUACUUCCUCUCCUCUUCCUCUUCUCUCUCAGCGACACAGAAGAGUAACCGUAACCCUAAAGUCGUGCCAAACCGGAUACUUCAGGCUACGACACAGUACUGCAACACACACACACACACAGACACACACAGACACAGGUAUGGUUUCUACAUUAAGCACACGGGUGCAUCUCAUUAACAUGUGUACCAGUUGUACAGAGGAGACUUGACUACUAGACUAGACUAGAUUACUGCAGGAGCUGAGUUUGGGGAUCUGAGGAGACUAGAUUACUGCAGGAGCUGAGUUUGGGGAUCUGAGGAGACUAGAUUACUGCAGGAGCUGAGUUUGGGGAUCUGAGGAGACUAGAUUACUGCAGGAGCUGAAUUUGGGGAUCUGUAUUAACAUCAGGACACAUUCUGUUGCUGGGGUUAAUCUGAUGCAGUAAAUGAAAGAUUGAAGUGACUCAGGCUUAAAUGUGUGUGUUGGAAGUGACCAGCGGUGUGUGUUUGAAGUGCCCAGCGGCGUGUGUUCAAGUCAAACACACACACUCUGUUCCACCACAGACGUGGAGGAAAGACUUCCUGUGGGGAAUUCUGGGAAACGUAGUCAAAAGCUUGCAACACUUCACGUAUUGAACAUAGUCACGCAUUCAGUCAUAUUCAUCACACAGCAGCAACAGGAAGGAAUCUUCACAACCAUGACUCCCAUACAUUCUAGAAUGAACAUUCAAAUAAAAGGACUGAUUGGUCAAAGCCAACUAGAAACUAGAACUAUUACUUAUUAUAAAAAGUUGCAGUUUAUUUCAUUUGUGAGAACUCGUUUAGUACCGAGACUUUUAUUUCAAGGUCAUCCUCUGUUAUAACUCACACAGAUUUCACACAGGGUUUCACACUCAGAAACUCAGAAACUCAGAGCCUGUGGACAUCAUCAAUAAGAUGUACAAUUAGUGCCAAAUCAGACACAUAUUUGGCUUGAGACCAACUGACUACUAAAUGAAAUUAAAUGAUUUAUUCUGUCAUUUCAUGCAUUACUUAGUUAGUCUAGACGUAUGUACUGCUGAACCGACCGGUGACCAGUGACCAGUGACCAAGAGCUCCUACAGGAGUGCUGGUAGCGGCGUUGCCAUGGUGAAAUCCUGGCCCAGUAGGAGCGGAGAGAAACACGAGCCUCUUGUCUGAGAUGCUCAUUGGACGGUCGGGCCGUAAGGCUGCUAGCAUCAGUGUAGAUUACAUAGACGGGACACACACACACACCUUUGGUUCCUUCACUGGUGGGUGUGCCCACAGCUCUACGGUGCUGUCCUUACACACACACACACACACACAGGAUUGUCCUUCCAGUUCAUGCACUUUCAUGACUUCCGUGAGUGGUGGUUCUAUCAGUAAAGUGACCCCCCC